UACGUAGGGUGCGAGCGUUGUCCGGAAUUAUUGGGCGUAAAGAGCUCGUAGGCGGUGUGUUACGUCGGCCGUGAAAACCUGCAGCUUAACUGUGGGCGUGCGGUCGAUACGGGCAUCACUGGAGUUCGGCAGGGGAGACUGGAAUUCCUGGUGUAGCGGUGAAAUGCGUAGAGAUCGGAAAGAACACCAACGGCGAAAGCACUCUGCUGGGCCGACACUGACACUGAGAGACGAAAGCUAGGGGAGCGAAUGGG
rnacentral:rRNA from 1 species